ACAGCAAAGGGGCGGCGAUCAGAGCACGCAGGGCAAGGGCUGGGUUUAGGGCUGGAGCUGGGGCGGGGGGGCGGGGGCCAGAACCAGAGAAGCACGGGGAGGGGUUGGUGGAAAUUGGGGAUCCUGCAGGAACCGAAUGGAAGUGGGAGGAGAAGGACGGUGGUAAAGGGGAAGGAGGCAGGAACCGAGCGGUCUAGAGCGAGAAGCGCGAGAUGGGUGGAUCUGGGGGGACCGGGACAGAGCGCAGCAGGAAUGGAGCGCGACGGGGCCACCAGGGGGCGAUAGAAGGCGGCGGAGCCUGGGGAGCAGGGCCGGGAGCCGCGCGGCUGGUGAGGAAUCCAGGCUCAGAGAAGGCAGUGACUCACAGAAGGCCACACAGCAAGUCUACCUAACAACCAGGAUGCCUCAGUUCCAGCUCUGGGCUUUUAACUCCUCAUGCCAAUGACCUCCACUGAAAGGUGAGCAGAACGUCAAAAAAGAUCCUGAGUUCUGGACUGUUUGUCAGGCAUUUUCUCCAGUGGGAACUGAGUCAACUCCAGAGGUUGUCCAGCUCGGCGCUACCCAACUGAACUCUCUCCAACGGUGGCAAUGCCCUCUAUGCGCUGGUCAGUACAGCAGCCAUAUGUGGCUACAGAGCAUCUGAUAACGUGGCGACUGUGACUGAAAAAUUACUUUUCUGAUUUCGGGUCAUUUCCAUUUAAACGGCCCUGGGUGGCCAGUAGCUGUCCUCCUGGGCAGGACAGAUCUGGAGGAAGUACUUGGCAUGGACAUUGGAAAGAAAAACAGCGAUAGCUCCUUUUCAUAGGUCUAAUAAUUAUGUACACGCUGACUUA